rnacentral:snRNA from 1 species
GGACCCUCUUUCUGGGCGCCCCUCAUGUGCCAAGCAGCAGGGAAGGUUCUCACUGGGAAAUUGGGACAAUAUAGAGAGAUUAGCAUGGUCCCAGUGCAAGGAUGACACAGAUUUGUGAGGCAUUCUAGU